UACGAAGGGGGCUAGCGUUGCUCGGAAUCACUGGGCGUAAAGCGCACGUAGGCGGCUUGUUAAGUCAGGGGUGAAAUCCUGGAGCUCAACUCCAGAACUGCCUUUGAUACUGGCGAGCUUGAGUCCGGGAGAGGUGAGUGGAACUGCGAGUGUAGAGGUGAAAUUCGUAGAUAUUAGGAAGAACACCAGUGGCGAAGGCGGCUCACUGGCUCGGUACUGACGCUGAGGCGCGAAAGCGUGGGGAGCAAACAGG
rnacentral:rRNA from 1 species